ACUCAGAAGCUUGGACCGCAUCCUAGCCGCCGACUCACACAAGGCAGGUGGGUGAGGAAAUCCAGAGUUGCCAUGGAGAAAAUUUCAGUGUCAGCAUUCUUGCUCCUUGUGGCCCUCUCCUACACUCUGGCCAGAGAUACCACAGUCAAACCUGGAGCCAAAAAGGACACAAAGGACUCUCGACCCAAACUGCCCCAGACCCUCUCCAGAGGUUGGGGUGACCAACUCAUCUGGACUCAGACAUAUGAAGAAGCUCUAUAUAAAUCCAAGACAAGCAACAAACCCUUGAUGAUUAUUCAUCACUUGGAUGAGUGCCCACACAGUCAAGCUUUAAAGAAAGUGUUUGCUGAAAAUAAAGAAAUCCAGAAAUUGGCAGAGCAGUUUGUCCUCCUCAAUCUGGUUGUAAGUUUCCUUUUCAUCAUUACUAACAUUUCUCUAUGGCUCAUUACUUGAAAUGGAUUAUUCAUUUUUUCCUAUACAUCUUAGUUAUAUUGCAUUAACUGGGAUUGCUUCCAAAUAUCCCAUCUCAUAAAUUAGAGAGAAAAAAGAUAUUUCGUUGUAUUAAUAAUCCAU
rnacentral:sRNA from 1 species